rnacentral:rRNA from 1 species
UACGUAGGGUGCGAGCGUUAAUCGGAAUUACUGGGCGUAAAGGGUGCGUAGGCGGUCCGAUAAGUCAUACGUGAAAUCCCUCAGCUUAACUGGGGAACUGCGUGUGAUACUGGAUGGCUUGGAUUUGGGAGAGGGAUGCGGAAUUCCAGGUGUAGCGGUGAAAUGCGUAGAUAUCUGGAGGAACACCGGUGGCGAAGGCGGCAUCCUGGACCAAUAUUGACGCUGAGGAGCGAAAGCCAGGGGAGCAAACGGG